rnacentral:rRNA from 1 species
AUUGAACGCUGGCGGAAUGCUUUACACAUGCAAGUCGAACGGCAGCACGGACUUCGGUCUGGUGGCGAGUGGCGAACGGGUGAGUAAUGUAUCGGAACGUGCCCAGUCGUGGGGGAUAACGUAGUGAAAAUUACGCUAAUACCGCAUACGAUCUAGGGAUGAAAGCGGGGGAUCGCAAGACCUCGCGCGAUUGGAGCGGCCGAUAUCAGAUUAGGUAGUUGGUGGGGUAAAGGCCCACCAAGCCAACGAUCUGUAGCUGGUCUGAGAGGACGACCAGCCACACUGGAACUGAGACACGGUCCAGACUCCUACGGGAGGCAGCAGGGGGGAAUUUUGGACAAUGGGCGAAAGCCUGAUCCAGCCAUUCCGCGUGCAGGAUGAAGGCCCUCGGGUUGUAAACUGCUUUUGUACAGAACGAAAAGGUUUCUACUAAUACUAGGAGCUCAUGACGGUACUGUAAGAAUAAGCACCGGCUAACUACGUGCCAGCAGCCGCAGUAA